UUUUUUUUUGGUUUUUUUGU
rnacentral:sRNA from 1 species